rnacentral:piRNA from 1 species
AUCAUUAGAACACAGGAGCUCUA